ACAAUGGCGGGCAUGCCUAUACAUGCAAGUCGAGCGGACUUGAUAGAGAAGCUUGCUUCUCUGAUACGUUAGCGGCGGACGGGUGAGUAACACGUAGGCAACCUGCCCUCAAGUUUGGGACAACUACCGGAAACGGUAGCUAAUACCGAAUAAUUGUUUUCUUCGCCUGAAGGAAACUGGAAAGACGGAGCAAUCUGUCACUUGGGGAUGGGCCUGCGGCGCAUUAGCUAGUUGGUGAGGUAACGGCUCACCAAGGCGACGAUGCGUAGCCGACCUGAGAGGGUGAUCGGCCACACUGGGACUGAGACACGGCCCAGACUCCUACGGGAGGCAGCAGUAGGGAAUCUUCCGCAAUGGGCGAAAGCCUGACGGAGCAAUGCCGCGUGAGUGAUGAAGGUUUUCGGAUCGUAAAGCUCUGUUGCCAGGGAAGAACGCUUGGGAGAGUAACUGCUCUCAAGGUGACGGUACCUGAGAAGAAAGCCCCGGCUAACUACGUGC
rnacentral:rRNA from 1 species